rnacentral:rRNA from 1 species
AUUGAACGCUGGCGGCAGGCUUAACACAUGCAAGUCGAGCGGAUGACGGGAGCUUGCUCCUUGAUUCAGCGGCGGACGGGUGAGUAAUGCCUAGGAAUCUGCCUGGUAGUGGGGGACAACGUUUCGAAAGGAACGCUAAUACCGCAUAUGUCCUACGGGAGAAAGCAGGGGACCUUCGGGCCUUGCGCUAUCAGAUGAGCCUAGGUCGGAUUAGCUAGUAGGUGAGGUAAUGGCUCACCUAGGCGACGAUCCGUAACUGGUCUGAGAGGAUGAUCAGUCACACUGGAACUGAGACACGGUCCAGACUCCUACGGGAGGCAGCAGUGGGGAAUAUUGGACAAUGGGCGAAAGCCUGAUCCAGCCAUGCCGCGUGUGUGAAGAAGGUCUUCGGAUUGUAAAGCACUUUAAGUUGGGAGGAAGGGCAGUAAGUUAAUACCUUGCUGUUUUGACGUUACCGACAGAAUAAGCACCGGCUAACUCUGUGCCAGCCGCCGCCGUAAUAC